UACGUAGGGUGCGAGCGUUGCCCGGAAUUAUUGGGCGUAAAGAGCUUGUAGGCGGUUUGUCGCGUCUGCUGUGAAAAUCCGGGGCUCAACCCCGGACUUGCAGUGGGUACGGGCAGACUAGAGUGUGGUAGGGGAGACUGGAAUUCCUGGUGUAGCGGUGAAAUGCGCAGAUAUCAGGAGGAACACCGAUGGCGAAGGCAGGUCUCUGGGCCACUACUGACGCUGAGAGGCGAAAGCAUGGGGAGCGAACAGGAUUAGAUA
rnacentral:rRNA from 1 species